rnacentral:rRNA from 1 species
GACGAACGCUGGCGGCGUGCCUAAUGCAUGCAAGUCGAGCGACGCACAUCGGAGGGGUAACCCACCGAUAUGACGGAGCGGCGAACGGGUGUGUAACACGUGAGCAACCUGCCCCACAGAUCGGGAUAGCCCAGGGAAACCUGGAUUAAUACCGAAUACCCUCGAGUAACCACAUGAUUGUUCGAGGAAAUGCCUUUGUGCUGUGGGAUGGGCUCGCGGCUUAUCAGCUAGUUGGUGGGGUAACGGCCUACCAAGGCAUCGACGAGUAGCUGGUCUGAGAGGACGAUCAGCCACACUGGGACUGAGACACGGCCCAGACUCCUACGGGAGGCAGCAGCAGGGAAUCUUGCGCAAUGGGCGAAAGCCUGACGCAGCAACGCCGCGUGGGGGAUGAAGGCCUUCGGGUUGUAAACCCCUUUCAGGAGGGAAGAAAUUGACGGUACCUCCAAAAGAAGCCCCGGCUAACUACGUG